rnacentral:hammerhead_ribozyme from 1 species
AUCCAGCUUGACGAGUCCCAAAUAGGACGAAACGCGCCUCAUGGAU